ensembl:lncRNA
CUCCCUCUCUGCCCUAGCCACACAGGUUCCUCAAUGUUUCUGUACCACACCAGAUUCUAUGCUGCCCCAGGGCCUUUGCACAGCUGUGCCUCUGACUGGAACACACUCCCGGCAGAUAUUCAGGGCACUCACUACAUCCCUUCACUUAAGCCUCUGUAUAAAUGCUGCUCCUUUUUAUUGUCACUGUCCUUCCUGUCUGUCAUGACAGAAGGCGUCAGCUCCAGAGGCAGGCCAUUGGGGCAUCUUCUCCCCUGCACUGUCCCAGGGUCUGGCGCAGGUUCCAGCAGAUGCUUAGGCAGCCCUUUCAGGAGACUGGAAAGGGACCCUGCACAGGUAUGGAGCUCGACUGCGUGCCAGGCCGUCCCACUGAGGGAAGAGGUGGGGUCCGGGGCCUCUCUGUGGGGGACUGUGGGGUCCAUUGAUCCAAUCCUUGAGGAUCGGAAGCUCCUGGGGAGCACUGACAGCCCCUCAGCCCCGGCACCGAGGUCCUGGGCCCCACUGUGCCCCUUCCUGGCCCUCGGCUGCCUCCGCACCAGGACCACCCCAGUCCUGACAGCCACACGGGUCCUCAACCUUGUGGGACGUCCCCCGGGGCACCCUAAGUUCGUGGGUCCCCACGUCCCUGCCCCCCAGCCGGACGCAGAAAAGAGGACUCCACAGUCCAGCAAGAGUCAAAGCAUAGCUUGUUUAAUUUUUAUACAUUUUCCUCUUUUUUUUGCCUUUUAUUGAAUCUUUUAUGGAACCCCCUUUUUUCAGUUUUUUUUUGUGUAUGUGUUUUGUUUUGUUUUUUGCAUAGGGAAACAAACAAAAUAACAGCCAGAGUCACUUUCCGUAAAUGGUGCUCAGGCAGGCGGGCGGCGGAACUGAAUGAGUGCACGUGUACACGGUUAUGAUCGCACGGGUCCCGUCCCCGGCCCUGCCACGUGUGGUAUGGGGACAGGGGAUGGCGGGGCACAGGCCUAAGGGCGCCUUCCCCCGCCCCGGGUUCUGAGCACAGGUGUGUGUGCGUGUGUGUGUGUGCGUGCGUGUGUGUGUGUGUGUUUCCGGGGUGGGAAGCAAGCAGAAAGCGAGAAAACAGAACUAUCCUGGUAUUAUGAGUAAAAUACAAAAUGGAUACAAGAACAACAAUCUCAAAAAAAAAAAAAAAAAAAUCUCGGAGGGAAGAUGAAAGAGAAUCAACACCCGAAAAUGAAGGGGGAAGAAAAGAGGGAAAGAGAAAAGAAUCCAUGGAGAGGAAAAGGCCGCCUCCUUCCUGCUGCCCCCAAGCUGAGCCCAUCCUGCUGCGGCCCUCAGAUCGCUGCUUCUCCAGGUGCUGGGGUGCACGGGCUGGCACCCCCAGACGUGCAAGGGGCCUUGGGUUCCGAGGGACAGCAGCCUGACAGGGACUUGUGAUAGGAAGAUGGGGUGCAGAUGCGUUUGGGGGACAGGAGACUGGGGGUGCACGGCUUCCUCCCUCUCUGGAGCCCUGAUCCCCACUGGAUUCAUCCUCUCCUUCCCGACCCCCUCCUCCUCUGUGCCGGGGUGGGGGGAGCCCCAAAACCACACCAGCAGACCUGUGAGGCACUGCUGGGAAAAGUCUAAUUUGGUAUCAUGGGCAACAAGUUCGCGGUGUGGUUCUGACUCUGCCUCCCUGCCUCGUCUAGGGGCCGGGGUGAUGGUCUGAUCCCUGCACCCCGAAACACUCAGGGGGGUAUGGAGCGGUGCGUGCGGGGAAAUAUCCGCAGAGCAGGAAGGGGGCAGCCGGUGAGGGUGACCUUGCUCCUGACCACUCCACAAAACCAAAGCGAGAGCCAAGUCGGGGUCUCAGAGACAGGUUUGGGCCGAGAUCAAAAACAGCCACUGUGUCCCCUGCAUUGUGAGAGAACAAUGCCGAUCCUGUGUAUAAAUGUUCGCAUGCUCACUACAGCCUCCCUGCCCGGGGGAGCCAAGCGCCACAGAGGCCUGGACGUUGCAGUCUCGGGUGGCCCCAGGACCCUGCCUUGCGUGGGACGCUCCCGGGACCUGGAAUUAUCACUCUGAGAAGACGGGGUGGGGGAGCCGAGGGGGCCCAAUACCCCAUGCCGAAAGGCUGCCUGGCGCGGGCCUGCCCUCCGCGCCCGAGGAAGGGCUCCGGGGCGUGCAGAGCUUUGGUCAAGAUCAAAGCAAAGGAAGCUGGAAUUAAAGAAGAGAAAGGAAAAAGCAAGAACAAGGAAAACAAAUCAAAGACAAGACAACAUCCUGGCCGGCCGCCCGGACAGAGCCCUGCGACUCAGGGUCCCCCAUGUCCCUCCAGAGGCUGAGCACGGCCCCAGUAUGGACAGACAGAUAUUGCAUAUAUGGACGGGUUUUUGUCUUUCAUAGCAGACGCUCUUCAUUUUCAUAGCUGGAAGACGGAGUUCGGGGACUAGGGCGCGGAGGCCCCCCCAGGCUGUCUCGGGAUUGGUGGGAAGUAAGGUGCUUUAGUGAGGAGGACGG